rnacentral:rRNA from 1 species
GUGGCGAACGGGUGAGUAACACGUGGGUAACCUGCCCAUCAGAAGGGGAUAACACUUGGAAACAGGUGCUAAUACCGUAUAACAAUCGAAACCGCAUGGUUUUGAUUUGAAAGGCGCUUUCGGGUGUCGCUGAUGGAUGGACCCGCGGUGCAUUAGCUAGUUGGUGAGGUAACGGCUCACCAAGGCCACGAUGCAUAGCCGACCUGAGAGGGUGAUCGGCCACAUUGGGACUGAGACACGGCCCAAACUCCUACGGGAGGCAGCAGUAGGGAAUCUUCGGCAAUGGACGAAAGUCUGACCGAGCAACGCCGCGUGAGUGAAGAAGGUUUUCGGAUCGUAAAACUCUGUUGUUAGAGAAGAACAAGGAUGAGAGUAACUGUUCAUCCCUUGACGGUAUCUAACCAGAAAGCCACGGCUAACUACGUGCCAGCAGCCGCGGUAAUACGUAGGUGGCAAGCGUUGUCCGGAUUUAUUGGGCGUAAAGCGAGCGCAGGCGGUUUCUUAAGUCUGAUGUGAAAGCCCCCGGCUCAACCGGGGAGGGUCAUUGGAAACUGGGAGACUUGAGUGCAGAAGAGGAGAGUGGAAUUCCAUGUGUAGCGGUGAAAUGCGUAGAUAUAUGGAGGAACACCAGUGGCGAAGGCGGCUCUCUGGUCUGUAACUGACGCUGAGGCUCGAAAGCGUGGGGAGCAAACAGGAUUAGAUACCCUGGUAGUCCACGCCGUAAACGAUGAGUGCUAAGUGUUGGAGGGUUUCCGCCCUUCAGUGCUGCAGCUAACGCAUUAAGCACUCCGCCUGGGGAGUACGACCGCAAGGUUGAAACUCAAAGGAAUUGACGGGGGCCCGCACAAGCGGUGGAGCAUGUGGUUUAAUUCGAAGCAACGCGAAGAACCUUACCAGGUCUUGACAUCCUUUGACCACUCUAGAGAUAGAGCUUCCCCUUCGGGGGCAAAGUGACAGGUGGUGCAUGGUUGUCGUCAGCUCGUGUCGUGAGAUGUUGGGUUAAGUCCCGCAACGAGCGCAACCCUUAUUGUUAGUUGCCAUCAUUCAGUUGGGCACUCUAGCAAGACUGCCGGUGACAAACCGGAGGAAGGUGGGGAUGACGUCAAAUCAU